GGCAACAUGCUCAGGUCUCUUACCACGCUGUGGAAGCUUUGUUCUUUCGCUCUUUGCAAUGAAUCCUGCUGCUGCUCACUCUUUGGGUCCACACUGCCUUUAUGAGCUGUAACACUCACUGUGAAGGUCCGCAGCUUCCCUCCUGAGCCAGCGAGACCAGGAACCCACCAGAAGGAAGAAACUCAGAACACAUCCCAACAUCAGAAGGAACAAACUCCAGACGCGCCACCUUAAGAGCUGUAACACUCACCGCGAGGGUCUGCGGCUUCAUUCUUCAAGUCAGUGAGACCAAGAACCCACCAAUUCCGGACACACCAAGUCCUGAGUUCAGAAUUUUGUUUUUGAGAUGAACAUAAAAGCACCUAAAGGUCAAGGAAGAUGUUCUUCCUGUGAUAAGGAACACAAAGCCUGUUUGGUGGUCUCUUCACACGGAAGCGCAUGACACUUCGCUUUAGUGUAGAUGACCACUCCCCUCUGUAAGGUGUUUCCUGUGAUCUCUGGGAUCCUGAUCCGCACCACUCAACUUUGGCCUCCUAAACUUCAUCCUUGACCCCACCCCAGGACCUCUUGACCAGAAUUUAUCCAGCACUCCAGCACGGCUUGCACGUUAUCUGGAGUAAAGAGACCUUCU
rnacentral:lncRNA from 1 species